GUCUUCUUGUUAUAUUUAGGAAGUCUGGCCUGCCCAGUGAAAAUAAUUUAACGGCCGCGGUAUACUGACCGUGCAAAGGUAGCAUAAUCAUUAGUCUUUUAAUAGAGGGCUGGUAUGAAGGGUUUAACGAGGUGUUGACUGUCUCAUUUAAUUUGAAUUUAGAAUUUAAUUUUUUAGUUAAAAAGCUGAAAUAUUAUUGGAAGACGAGAAGACCCUAUAGAGCUUUAUAUUUUUAUUAAUAAUUUAUAUAGAUUAUUAUUAUUAUUUAUUAUUAUUAUAAAAUAUUUUGUUGGGGUGACAAAAAUAUAUAAUUAACUUUUUUAUUUAUUUUACAUUGAUAUAUGAAUAUUAGAUCCAAUCUUAUUGAUUGUUAGAUUAAGUUACCUUAGGGAUAACAGCGUAAUCCCUCUCCAGAGUUCAUAUUUACAGAGGGGCUUGCGACCUCGAUGUUGGAUUAAGAUAAUAAUUAGGUGCAGCCGCUUAAUUAAUAGGUCUGUUCGACCUUUAAAUUCUU
rnacentral:rRNA from 1 species